AGAGUUUGAUCCUGGCUCAGGAUUAACGCUAGCGGCAGGCAUAAUACAUGCAAGUCGAGGGGCAGCACGGACUUCGGUCUGGUGGCGACCGGCGAACGGGUGCGUAACACGUAUGCCACUUGCCUACUACUGGGGAAUAGCUCAAGGAAACUUGAAUUAAUACCCCAUAAUACAGGGAUCCCGCAUGGGAAUAUUUGUUAAAGCUACGGCGGUAGUAGAUAGGCAUGCGCCCCAUUAGUUUGUUGGUGAGGUAAUGGCUCACCAAGACUACGAUGGGUAGGGGGUCUGAGAGGAUGAUCCCCCACACUGGUACUGAGAUACGGACCAGACUCCUACGGGAGGCAGCAGUAAGGAAUAUUGGGCAAUGGGCUCACGCCUGACCCAGCCAUGCCGCGUGCAGGAUGAACGCCUUUCGGGUCGUAAACUGCUUUUAUAGGAGAAGAAAAAGCCUGCCGAGACAGGCCCUGACGGUAUCCUAUGAAUAAGCACCGGCUAAACUCCGUGCCAGCAGCCGCGGUAAUACGGAAGGGUGCAAGUGUUGUCCGGAUUUAUUGGGUUUAAAGGGUGCGUAGGUGGUAUGGUAAGUCAGCGGUGAAAGCCUGCAGCUCAACUGCAAAACUGCCCUUGAUACUGCCACACUUGAGUAAAGUUAGAGCAAGUGAAAUUUAUGGGGGUAGCGGUGAAAUGCUUAAAUAUCAUAAAGAACACCCAUAACGAAGGCGCUUGCUGAGCUAUCACUGA
rnacentral:rRNA from 1 species